rnacentral:lncRNA from 1 species
GGCAAUGCCCUUGCUCUGCUUGAGGGAGAGGUCACACCUAUUCAGGGAAGUGUUAAGUGUCCUGCCGGUUCUCUUUGUCAAUGAAGCUGUCUCUGUGCUUAUCCAUGAGUGUGAAGGGCUGAGAGUCAAUGCCAGACUUAUUGCGUUGCUGGUCACUUAGUGCUGGUGCCCCAGCUCCUACACUUACCCCUCACACCUGGCUCUGCUCCAUCAAAGGGACAAGUACCAGCUGUGUGAGGGGUUCCCAGAGAGCAAAGGCAGACUCCCCUAGAACUUCCAGAUCUGAGUCCUGCUCAGAAUUAGAGAAGACAUUGGAGAGUACCCUCUGGAUAUGCAGUUCCGUUUUCCAUCUUCUUGGUCUUCCUGCUGUCUUGAGAGGCAGGAGUGCCAAGGAUGAGGGCUUUGAGGCAGUUAGGGGAACACUUGGGGACACCCCCUGUUUUGGGAGACUUCACUCCAGAUGAAGGAACUGUACACUGGAGGGUCUAAGCAGCCCGCUAUGUCCAAUCUUAGAGGGCUUCAGGGCGAAUGAACUCCAAGGAUGGGCUCAUUUCUGGCAUCCAGUUUUCUGAAGGUCCAGGCCCUCCCUCAUUCUCCCCAGUCUGUCACCAUGGCAGCUGCAGGGCUUGUAUCUCUACGCCCACACCAUUCUUUAUGAUCACACGAGCAAACACACACAGAGACAUCCAUGUGUAAGUG